rnacentral:rRNA from 1 species
GUUGCCUCGGAUCAGGUAGGGAUACCCGCUGAACUUAAGCAUAUCAAUAAGCGGAGGA